GCCAGACUCCUACGGGAGGCAGCAGUGAGGAAUAUUGGUCAAUGGACGAGAGUCUGAACCAGCCAAGUAGCGUGAAGGAUGACUGCCCUAUGGGUUGUAAACUUCUUUUAUAAAGGAAUAAAACGAGGCACGUGUACCUUUUUGCAUGUACUUUAUGAAUAAGGAUCGGCUAACUCCGUGCCAGCAGCCGCGGUAAUACGGAGGAUCCGAGCGUUAUCCGGAUUUAUUGGGUUUAAAGGGAGCGUAGAUGGGUUGUUAAGUCAGUUGUGAAAGUUUGCGGCUCAACCGUAAAAUUGCAAUUGAUACUGGCAGUCUUGAGUACAGUUGAGGUAGGCGGAAUUCGUGGUGUAGCGGUGAAAUGCUUAGAUAUCACGAAGAACCCCGAUUGCGAAGGCAGCCUACUAAACUGUGACUGACAUUGAUGCUCGAAAGUGUGGGUAUCGAACAGGAUUAGAUACCUGUGUA
rnacentral:rRNA from 1 species